AGAUGAUGUGCCACUACAGGAAAAAUGUGGCCAAUGAAAUUUUGCUGGCAUCAGUGUGAAGAGAGGAGUACUGCUCUGUGUGUGGAGAAAAAGAAAGAGCCCAAACAGAGGAGCAAUGCAUCUGGAUUCAAUGUGAAUUAUGCCAGAGGUAGUUUCAUGUUCAGUGCCUCAACAUUAAUCUGCUACCAGAAGAACAAGCAUGGAUUUGUGAUGUGUGUUUGUAAGCUAUUUAGUUAGAGGAGCUGAUGCUGAAAGUGUUCAAAUUGUAAGAAAA